UGAGCAGGCCAAGUGGUCGCGGGCACCGUUUGGUGCCUGAGGAAAGUCCGGGCUCCAUAGGGCAGGGUGCUGGGUAACUCCCAGCGGAGGCAACUCUAGGGAAAGUGCCACAGAAACAUACCGCCCGGCGCUCCAUGGCCUCUGGUCCCGAGGGCAUGCCCAGCCUGAGGCACCGUGAAGAGGCGCAGUUUUGGGGCGUUUGGGUAAGGGUGAAAAGGUGGUGUAAGAGACCACCGGCGGUCGGGUGACCGGCCGGCCAGGUAAACCCCACCCGGAGCAAGACCAAAUAGGAGGGUUAUGACGCUGCCCGCCGAGCCCUCGGGUAUGGUCGCUUGAGGGGAAAGGUAACUUUCCUCCCAGAUAGAUGACCACUCUUCGACAGAACCCGGCUUAUCGGCCUGCUUACCAC
rnacentral:RNase_P_RNA from 1 species